GAUUAGCUCAGUUGGUCAGAGCAUGGUGCUAGUAACACCAUGGUUGUUGGUUCAAUCCCUCUAUGGACCA